rnacentral:rRNA from 1 species
ACCAAACCAUCGUAGGUAAUAUACUUACCAGAACUAUCACGGGUAUCCGGCCUGAGAGGGUGAACGGACACACUGGAACUGAGACACGGUCCAGACUCCUACGGGAGGCAGCAGUAGGGAAUAUUGCUCAAUGGGGGAAACCCUGAAGCAGCAACGCCGCGUGGAGGAUGAAGGUUUUAGGAUUGUAAACUCCUUUUGUUAGAGAAGAUAAUGACGGUAUCUAACGAAUAAGCACCGGCUAACUCCGUGCCAGCAGCCGCGGUAAUACGGAGGGUGCAAGCGUUACUCGGAAUCACUGGGCGUAAAGAGCGCGUAGGCGGGAUAGUCAGUCAGGUGUGAAAUCCUAUGGCUUAACCAUAGAACUGCAUUUGAAACUGCUAUUCUAGAGUGUGGGAGAGGUAGGUGGAAUA